rnacentral:sRNA from 1 species
GCAUUCGAACAUGCUGCAGAGGUUGGAGCUGAUGCCUUCUCUGCUCUUCCACCACUAUACUUUGUGCCCGCCACAGUUGACGAGCUUGUAGAAUAUUGCCGACAGGUGGCUGAGAAGGCACCUUCAAUACCAUUCUACUAUUACCACAUCCCUGAAAGAACAAACGUCCGAUUUGACAUGGAACAGUUCCUGAUCAAAAGUCGAAAUGUUAUUUCAAAUCUACGUGGCAUUAAAUUUUCUAGCAAAGAUCUCUAUGAAGGUUCUAGGUGUCUCAGGACAUUAAAUUCCAAAGGGGAAAACUAUGAGCUACUAUUUGGAAGUGAUGAG